CUACGGGAGGCUCCAGUGAGGAAUAUUGCACAAUGGGGGGAACCCUGAUGCAGCAACGCCGCGUGGAGGAUGACGCAUUUCGGUGUGUAAACUCCUUUUAUAUGUCAAGAAAAUGACGGUAGCAUAUGAAUAAGCACCGGCUAACUCCGUGCCAGCAGCCGCGGUAAUACGGAGGGUGCAAGCGUUACUCGGAAUCACUGGGCGUAAAGGACGCGUAGGCGGGUUGGAAAGUCAGGUGUGAAAUCCUACAGCUUAACUGUAGAACUGCACUUGAAACUUCUAAUCUAGAGUAUGGGAGGGGGAGAUGGAAUUAGUGGUGUAGGGGUAAAGUCCGUAGAUAUUACUAGGAAUACCUAAAGCGAAGGCGAUCUCCUGGAACAUUACUGACGCUAAGGCGUGAAAGCGUGGGGAGCAAACAGGAUUAGAUACCCCGGUAGUC
rnacentral:rRNA from 1 species